rnacentral:rRNA from 1 species
ACGAACGCUGGCGGCAUGCCUAACACAUGCAAGUCGAACGAGACCUUCGGGUCUAGUGGCGCACGGGUGCGUAACGCGUGGGAACCUGCCCUUAGGUUCGGAAUAACUCCCCGAAAGGGGUGCUAAUACCGGAUAAUGUCUUCGGACCAAAGAUUUAUCGCCUUUGGAUGGGCCCGCGUUGGAUUUGCUAGUUGGUAGGGUAAAAGCCUACCAAGGCGACGAUCCAUAGCUGGUCUGAGAGGAUGAUCAGCCACACUGGGACUGAGACACGGCCCAGACUCCUACGGGAGGCAGCAGUGGGGAAUAUUGGACAAUGGGCGAAAGCCUGAUCCAGCAAUGCCGCGUGAGUGAUGAAGGCCUUAGGGUUGUAAAGCUCUUUUACCCGGGAUGAUAAUGACAGUACCGGGAGAAUAAGCUCCGGCUAACUCCGUG